GCGGUCCGCGUAGACCCGGGACCCGCGCGGCGAAAGAAGGGUGCAGCGUCCCCUCCCAAACGGCGGUCAGUUUGGAAGCUCUGCCCCGCACAGGCCAGGCCCGGGAGAGCGGGAUUGGGUCCCAGCCUUUGUGGAUGAGGGCAUUGACAACUGGAAAGUCUUCCCACGAUGACAGGGCCCCUGGCUGAGUCAGAAGCAGGAAAAGACAGAGGUGCUCUGGAAGAAGCAUGCACCUGACUACCCAGACUCAUGGAAGUUCAUGAGUGCGUGGGGCUGCCAGAUCAAUGUGAAUGUCAGACAAACCAUGAACAGCUUGUUGUAUAAGUGUAUCUUGUGCAGUAUUUGGGACAUACUAACACUAAACAUUUAUGUGCUGCUUAUCUGAAAUUUAAAUUUAAUUGGA